UAACAUCAGUGGACUCUACAGCUAUGAAGUGAAAGACCAGUAAUUGGAACCUAGUGCUCCCUGGUCACCAUUUUCUAUGACAAGCCUAAAUAUGCGGCCCAAAUACUGAUGGACCCAACUGUACCGACAACAGCUGUGUCAUCAGCACAUUUCACCACCUUAACAAAUUCAGAGGCUGAAAAACAAUCAUGCGUAAAUAAGGAAUACAAUAAUGGGCUCAGGACACAUCCCUGUGGUACCUUGAUAAAGGCUCCUAGUGGAGCAGAAACGCGUUGGUGAGCUGAUCAGGGAGACUGCGGCAGACCAGGUUACCGAAUUGGACACUGCAGGUCCAGGGACGAACACGGCACCAAAGAAACCCGGGAGUGCCCUUGUGGAUAUGCACUUUCAUCCUGUUACACCCAAAGAGCUGCCCAACCUGUUUUGUCCGUUUCUCUAUUAACCAACUUUGAGGAUGCGAACAACAUCUUUGACUGGGAGGUUGGAGUCCAUGGCAUCUGGAUAGAGUUUUCAGACGAGGAGGGGGUAAAACAAACUGCCACCUACCUGCCAAAUGUAGCCAUGGACCAAGGUACUGCAGUGAGAAAGUGACCGUCAGUUACCAGGAAUACCUGGCCUCCCGCCUGCCCCCACUGCAAAUGAAGGAGAAAACAGGAGAGAGGCUGUCACAGGCAAGAGUUGAAGAAGAGAUGAAAAAAUGCUGGAAAUCCACUUGAGAGAGCAAACCAUCACCAAGCUUCUCUGCUGUGAAGCAGAAACUGUGACCGUCUCCUGCACGAUUAGCCCCCAGACCCAUACUGCAGCCAGCCCCCUGAUGAAACAACACUGGGUCCGGGUGUCCUCACUCCCCUCUCAGGUACCAACCAGGCCCCAAGCAGGAGAAGACAGUUGGUGGCGACAGCUUGUAUGGGCUUCUGCUGGCUUUAGUAUCACCUGCAUGGCUUCCCACAGCCACGUCUGCAACAUCUCACCAAUGAUCAGUAGUAAGCAUAUCUCCUUACCUAUCUACUUCAUGAAGGAGCACAAGUAGGUGACAUCAUCCAGGAGAUCUGAUAUGGGAGCUGAUAACUGUAUGUACUAAGAGGUUUAUUCAGAUCGCAUCGCUAAGCUAUGCUACCGCAAUAUCCCUGUUGUUGGCAUCAUUGCUGCAUGCGUUUGGGUUGCAAUGGGUGUGAACACCUCUGCCUGAUUGACAGGCAAAGGCAUUCGCAGGGUGGGUGCGGGGUGGCGACGGACCGUUGCGAGGAAGGCAUGGGGAA